rnacentral:rRNA from 1 species
AAACCAGCACCUCAAGUGGUCAGGAGGAUUAUUGGGCCUAAAGCAUCCGUAGCCUGUUCUAUAAGUUUCCGGUUAAAUCCAUUAGCUCAACUAAUGGGCCGCCGAAAAUACUGUGGAACUAGGGAGUGGGAGAGGUAGACGGUACUCGGUAGGAAGGGGUAAAAUCCUUUGAUCUAUUGAUGACCACCUGUGGCGAAGGCGGUCUACCAGAACACGUUCGACGGUGAGGGAUGAAAGCUGGGGGAGCAAACCGGAUUAGAAACCCGAGUAGUCC